AUUUAACGCUGGCGGCAUGCCUUACACAUGCAAGUCGAACGGUAACAGGUUAAGCUUACGAGUGGCGAACGGGUGAGUAUGCAUCGGAACGUGCCCGAACGUGGGGGAUAACGCAGCGAAAGCCGCGCCAAUACCGCAUACGAUCCGAGGAUGAAAGCAGGGGACCGGAAGGCCUCGCGCGAUCGGAGCGGCCGAUGUCAGAUUAGGUAGUUGGUGGGGUAAAGGCUCACCAAGCCGACGAUCUGUAGCUGGUCUGAGAGGACGACUAGCCACACUGGGACUGAGACACGGCCCAGACUCCUACGGGAGGCAGCAGUGGGGAAUUUUGGACAAUGGGCGCAAGCCUGAUCCAGCAAUGCCGCGUGCAGGAAGAAGGCCUUCGGGUUGUAAACUGCUUUUGUACGGAGCGAAAAGGCUCUCUCUAAUACAGGGGGCUCAUGACGGUACCGUAAGAAUAAGCACCGGCUAACUACGUGCCAGCAGCCGCAGUAACAC
rnacentral:rRNA from 1 species